UCCUGGGUAGCUUAACUGGUAAAGCAUCGUGCUGUUAACACGAAACAUGUAGGUUCGAAGCCUGCCCCAGGAGCCA
rnacentral:tRNA from 1 species